AAAAAAAAAGAAGAUGGGAGAUAGGGUGCACACAAGCCCACUAUUCACCGAGGCUUCUUUUGGACCACAGCACAACCACAUAAACUAUUUGUGCUUGUUUGCUGAAGAUAAUACAGCUGGCCUUCUGCACUCAUAAUUGUCUGAACCCACUGUAAUUCCAGUUCAUAAGAAUAAUGACAGACUUGAGUAGUCACCAAAUUAAAUGAUAGCUGCCUAACAGAAAGCUUCUUUCUUGGACUUAGCCUGAACAUGAGCUAGAAGACAUGAGGCUAUGUUUCUGAAAAGCUAGCUGCCCACCAUCUGUGGGUAUGAAGGAGGAUACUGAACUAUGUGAGAUGUGUAUAUGAUCUUCCUGAAGACCAGACAGCAGUAUUUCUAAAAUUUCCAGGAAUUCCCCAAGAAGAAUUCUGGGAGUUCUAGCCACAGAUCCACACCUUCAUAAACCUACAUUUUGCUCACCAGAACAAGAGCCUAG